UGAAGAAGGUAACUUUGGUGCUGGCUCUUGUCUAUGUUCCUUGGAACAGGACGUCACAGAGGGUGAGAAUCCCGUGCGAUGAGAUGCCCAGUACCAUGUAAAGUGCUUUCGAAGAGUCGAGUUGUUUGGGAAUGCAGCUCUAAGUGGGUGGUAAAUUCCAUCUAAAGCUAAAUAUUGGCGAGAGACCGAUAGCGAACAAGUACAGUGAUGGAAAGAUGAAAAGAACUUUGAAAAGAGAGUGAAAAAGUACGUGAAAUUGUUGAAAGGGAAGGGCUUGAGAUCAGACUUGGUAUUUUGCGACCUUUUUCCCUUGUGGAGAAGGGCCCCCGCAGUUUACUGGGCCAGCAUCAGUUUGGAUGGCAAGAUAAUGGCAUUGGAAUGUAGCUCGACUUCGGUUGAGUGUUAUAGACUUUGCAGAUAUUGCCUAUCUAGACUGAGGACUGCGUCUUUUGACUAGGAUGCUGGCGUAAUGAUCUUAAGCCGCCCGUCUUGAA
rnacentral:rRNA from 1 species